rnacentral:rRNA from 1 species
GAUGAACGCUGGCGGCGUGCCUAAUACAUGCAAGUCGAGCGAACGGACGAGAAGCUAGCUUCUCUGAUGUUAGCGGCGGACGGGUGAGUAACACGUGGAUAACCUACCUAUAAGACUGGGAUAACUUCGGGAAACCGGAGCUAAUACCGGAUAAUAUUUUGAACCGCAUGGUUCAAAAGUGAAAGACGGUCUUGCUGUCACUUAUAGAUGGAUCCGCGCUGCAUUAGCUAGUUGGUAAGGUAACGGCUUACCAAGGCAACGAUGCAUAGCCGACCUGAGAGGGUGAUCGGCCACACUGGAACUGAGACACGGUCCAGACUCCUACGGGAAGCAGCAGUAGGGAAUCUUCCGCAAUGGGCGAAAGCCUGACGGAGCAACGCCGCGUGAGUGAUGAAGGUCUUCGGAUCGUAAAACUCUGUUAUUAGGGAAGAACAUAUGUGCAAGUAACUGUGCACAUCUUGACGGUACCUAAUCAGAAAGCCACGGCUAACUACGUG